UCCCUGGUGGCUCAGACAGUUAAGCGUCUGCCCGUAAUGCAGGAAACCUGGGUUCAAUCCCUGGGUAGGGAA
rnacentral:tRNA from 1 species